AGAGUAAGACUCUGUCUAAAAAAAAAAAAAAAAGGCAGGCAGCAUGUGAGUUUCCUGGAACUGAAAGAACCCAGUGUGGUUGAAGUGCUGAAAAACAAGAGGAUGGAACAAGAUGUGGCCAGAGAGGUAGGUGUCUGGUAGGCUGUGUGGGAGGCUAAUAGGGUCUUUGAAGGGUUUUGUCUUCAUUUUAUAAAUAGUAGACAGUCUCUGAUAGGUUUUAAGCAGGGAGUGGUGUAACAAAAUCAGCCCUCGAUUUUGAAAAAAAGAAAUUAAUUAUGGCUUCUGUGCAGAGAAUGGAUUUGAAGAGGCAUGGUGGUCAAUAGGGCUCCAGGGAGCUAAUCUAUGAGGUUAUUGUGGUAGUUCAGGUGAAAGAGGAUGAUAAUUUGGACCAAGGUUCCAGAGGUGGAAAUGGAGAAAAGUGGAUAAACUUGAGACACAGCUAGCAGGUAAAACAAGUGAUAUUACCUAUUAUGUAAGUUAUGAGAGCUGUCAAUUAUAUGAUUCUUCGGUUUCUGAUUUGCAUAAAAGAAUAUACAUUAGUGCCUUACCUGAAAUAGAAAAUAUUAGAAAAUGCUUAGUUUUAGGAAGGAAGGGUGAUGAAUUAAGAGUUCCCUACUGUAGAUGUUGAAUUUAUGGUAUCUUUAAGACAUCCAAACAACGUAGAUAUAUAGGAAUUUAGAUAUUCAUGUCUAAAUCUCAGUGGCGAAGUCUGUGCUAAAGAUUUAAAUCUGUUAUUUGUCUAUGGGGGAAUCACUGAAGCUAUGCAUGUGGAUGAGAUUCUUCAGUAGGAGAGUGCAGUGUGAGGCGAGGGGACAGAUCCAAAACUUGGGAAACUCCAGUGAUUAAUGUCCAAGCACUGGCAGGAGCCUACCAAAAAUAGAGGGCAACAGCCAGAAAUGUCGGAGCUAAACAAGAAUAUGAAGCCAAGGAAAGAACAUAUGUGCAGAAGGUCAACAUUGCUGAAGGCUGCCGAAAGGCCACAGAAGAUAAGGAAAAAAAAAAAAAGUCCAUUAGAUUUAGCAAUAUGGAUGUGAAUGGCUUGAAAUUCAGAUUUUCUUACAAGAAUCAGUGGAGAAAUGCAGCUCCUAAAUGUAGCUAUUAAUCCCUGCAUGGCAUUCUAGGCACUAGGACAUUAUGGUGGGAAAAAAAAAAGAAAGGAAGGAUGGAAGGAAGAAGGUGGAGGAGAGGAGAGGAAAGGAGAGGAAAAAAGAAAGAGAAAACAGAUGUUAAUCAAGUAAUUAUAAUAACGGAUUUAUAAUAAAGGGCUGAGACAAGUAUUCUGAAGAAAGGGAACAUGGUUUCAGGAGACCACAUACCAUAAAGACUCCAACUGGGAAGAUUAGGGAAGGAUUCAUAAGGAAAUUACACUUGAACCAAGAUGAGGAACUGAAUAGCAUGUCGGUGAGGGAGGGGGAUGAAAAUAGAGGGAGUGACACUGGGGGUGUAUUUAUGAAAGAGGGAACCUUGGUUUCUUUGCUCAUGUUGAGGCCCACCUAGAGAACCUGGACCUGAAGCCGAACUCCUCAGUCUAUUGAAUGAAACACAUUUUCUUGAUCUGGAUCUGACUAUUCAGGCAUCCCAAGAACCAAAAUGACCUCGUGAGCAAGUUAAUUGUCAAGGCAGGACUGGAGGCUCAGCUCACUCUUCCUCCUCUUAGCUUAUCAAGUAGAAGGUUUGAUAAGGAAAGGUGGCUCACGUAAGAAGCAAAAAUAAAGAUGUAAAAAAUUCCUAGGUUUCUUAUUCACAGUUGUUUUCCUUUCCUUCUAUUACCACCAUUUUAUCUGGUGAAACUUGGCCCGGAACUCUCCUGAACUUGGAGACCUAUCCUUCCGAGCUACAAAUGAAGACUUAGGAGUGUUCAUCAAAUAAGGAGUUGCAAGAAGAACACAGAAACCAGAUUUAUUGUAUACAUGAAAAAAUAAAAAGUACUACUCAA
rnacentral:lncRNA from 1 species